AAAAAAGAGAAAGAAAAGAAAAUAAAGAUUAAUGACAUCAUUCAUGACAUCAUAAAGCUAUAAUUAAAAUUUAGGAAAUUAUGGGAUAAAUACAAUACAAAAGGGACCAAUUAAAAUUAAAGGAUAAAAAAAAAAGAAAAAACAAAAUAGUUAUCUUCUUCUUCAACCUCCUUGCUGCCCCAUUUUAUUCAUUUCUCUCUUCUCUCUUUCUUUCCACCAUUAACAACACUACCAAGCUCUAACACUCCCAUUUCUUCCAUAAACCCCAUGCUAAAUUAAUAGAAAACAUUCAAUUGACACUUGAUAGGAAGAACUGAAGCAAAAGAAACAAGAAAUUUGGAAGCAUUUUGAGAAUUGGAAAAGCUCCAUGAAAGUAGAAAAGAAUACCGGAAAAGAACCCGAGACAUCGAGUCAAGGCCAAGAGGCGACUCGUAUAAGGUGAAAGGAAUAAUAAAGCAGCAGAGCAAGAUUUCUGAAAAGACAUAGUGAGACUAACUUCGGAUAUAUCAUAGGUAUACCCUUGUACCUUAGAUUUUGAUGUAAUUCUGUAAUUAUAUGUAUGAAAUUUCCUUUGAGCAGUUGUACCAACUCUUUUGUAAUAUAUUUUUGGAUUGUAAUCAAAUACAAAAUUAUUGUAAUAUUAUCUUGAGAUUCUAUGUACUUAUAAA